rnacentral:rRNA from 1 species
GAUUAACGCUAGCGGCAGGCCUAAUACAUGCAAGUCGAACGGUAACAUGUCCAGCAAUGGAUGAUGACGAGUGGCGCACGGGUGCGUAACACGUAUGCAAUCUACCCUUAACUGGGGGAUAGCCCCGAGAAAUCGGGAUUAAUACCCCAUAAUAUUAUGAAGAGGCAUCUCUUUAUAAUUAAAGCUCCGGCGGUUUUGGAUGAGCAUGCGCGACAUUAGCUAGUUGGUGAGGUAACGGCUCACCAAGGCUUCGAUGUCUAGGGGUUCUGAGAGGAUUCACCCCCACACUGGUACUGAGACACGGACCAGACUCCUACGGGAGGCAGCAGUAAGAAAUAUUGGUCAAUGGACGCAAGUCUGAACCAGCCAUGCCGCGUGAAGGAAGACGGCCCUACGGGUUGUAAACUUCUUUUGUACAGGAAAAAACCACCGGUCGUGAACCGGUGCUGAUGGUACUGUAAGAAUAAGCAUCGGCUAACUCCGUGCCAGCCGCCGCAGUAAAAC